GCUAGCGUGGCAUAGUGGUUUGAGUGUUGGACUAGGACUCUGGAGACCAGGGUUCAAUUCUCAGCUACACCA